GUGCCAGGAGACUUGGCAGAGGCCCCAGAGAAAGACUCGCUACAGCCAGCAACUUCCCAAGACCUCCUAGACACCAGGCAGUGAGGCCACAAUAGCGCCAGUGAAGCGGCACAGCGACAGGCCUGCUCUGAUGGAGCCAACUGGGGCUGGCCUGGGGAGGCCAUGAGGCAGCCGAGUGGGCGGAGCUUUUCUCCUCAGGGCCCGGAAACUCACUGGUUCACUGACAUCUUAUUUUGCAAGGUUGAUGCUCACCCACUGAUUGCUUCCUGUGCCCACGCCAGGACGUAGUGACCACGUGGCCUUAUUGUGGUGAGAAUGUGGACAGCUGCUUGUGGGAAGGCCUUGGGUCACUUUCUAAGAGAGACUUCGUCAUCUUUGUGGAAGAAGCAAGCUGGGGCUCCCCAGAAAGACAAGCUGGAAGAGUGUCAGGGGGCCACUGCACUGGCUCUGAGUGCGUGGGAGACACGGCAACUGCUGAUUUGAUAAGUGGAUGGAGCCAAAGCAGCCAGGAUUCUGAAUCUAGGGCUCGGUAAACUGGAGGAGAUAUCUGGAGCAACCUCGCCCUGAAGGCUGGCAGCUUGGAAGAGUGAAGACUGGGGGUUGGGUGGACAUAUUUCUUCACCUCUCUGAGCCUCAAUUUCUCAUCUGUAAAAUGGGGGUAACUUCUGUCUUGUAAGAUUGUGGUGAAAAUUAUAUGCAAUGACAACUGUCAAGUACCUAGCAUAUAUAAGGCCCCUUAAAAUCUUUGUGUCCCCGCUUCUCUCCUUAUGCUUGAUGGAGAGGAUGGGCAACACCGUCUCGGCCUGCUCAACUAUUCUGCGUCCUUACGCUGGGACUUUGCAUUUCAACAAAUAAAACUAAUUGAUUAAUCUA